AAACCGUUACCAUUACUGACUUU
rnacentral:ncRNA from 2 species